GGCGGGGUAGCUCAGUUGGCUAGAGCAGUCGGCUCAUACCCGGCAUGUCGAGAGUUCGAGUCUCUCCCCCGCUACCA
rnacentral:tRNA from 1 species